GACGUAGGGGGCGAGCGUUGUCCGGAUUUAUUGGGCGUAAAGGGUUCCUAGGCGGCUGACCUAGUCGGGUGUGAAACCUCCAGGCUCAACCUGGAGACGGCCACUCGAUACUGGUCUGGCUAGAGUCCGGUGAGGGGCGAACGGAAGUAUCCGGUGUAGCGGUGAAAUGCUUAGAUAUCGGGUGGAACACCAGUGGCGAAGGCGGUUCGCUGGGCCGGAACUGACGCUGAAGAACGAAAGCGUGGGUAGCAAACAGG
rnacentral:rRNA from 1 species